rnacentral:rRNA from 1 species
CGGACGGGUGAGUAACGCGUGAGAAUCUGCCCUUAGGUUGGGGACAACAGUUGGAAACGACUGCUAAUACCCAAUGUGCCGAGAGGUGAAAGGUUAACUGCCUGAGGAUGAGCUCGCGUCUGAUUAGCUAGUUGGAGUGGUAACGGCACACCAAGGCGACGAUCAGUAGCUGGUCUGAGAGGAUGAUCAGCCACACUGGGACUGAGACACGGCCCAGACUCCUACGGGAGGCAGCAGUGGGGAAUUUUCCGCAAUGGGCGAAAGCCUGACGGAGCAAGACCGCGUGAGGGAGGAAGGCCUAUUGGUUGUAAACCUCUUUUGAUAGGGAAGAACACAAUGACGGUACCUAUCGAAUCAGCAUCGGCUAACUCCGUGCCAGCAGCCGCGGUAAUACGGAGGAUGCAAGCGUUAUCCGGAUUUAUUGGGCGUAAAGAGUCCGUAGGUGGCAAACCAAGUCAGUUGUUAAAGCGUAGAGCUUAACUCUAUAACGGCAAUUGAAACUGGUUAGCUAGAGUGCGAUAGGGGCAAGGGGAAUUCCCAGUGUAGCGGUGAAAUGCGUAGAUAUUGGGAAGAACAUCGGUGGCGAAGGCGCCUUGCUGGGUCUGCACUGACACUGAGGGACGAAAGCUAGGGGAGCGAAAGGGAUUAGAUACCCCUGUC